CGUUUCUUGUUUAAUUUCAUUCUUUGAUAGUUGUAAUAGUAAUUGACACCGAGGAAAAAACAAUCUACUCUAAAUAUUCUACACAGUAAGGAUUAAAUUUCAUUUUCUAUGGUUUUACUAUUUAGUGGGCAUUGUGAUACAUUCUAAUCUACACAUUGCCCCUCUACCCAUGCCUUGUCUUUUGUCCUCAGAAUAUCUUAUUAAUCAGAACUUUCAUAAACAUACACAAUUCUUUGACUGUUUCAAGAGUCAGGCUAUAUUUUCAGCUCUUGUCUUGUUUCUGUGAAUAUGGUGGCAGAAAUCAUGGAUUUGAGGGUCAACUGGACUGGUGUCAAGCAGUCCCCUACCGUUUAUUAGCUGAAUGAGCUUAGGAAAUCAUUUGUUUAACCUUUAAGUUAUACAUCACUCAUGUCUUUAUUUAGGGUAGGCCACUGUCCUCUAAUUCCAUACUGAUUCUUCUGGGUACUCUGGUGAGCCACUCAAAAAACAAUUUCUGCCAAACCUUUGGGAAAGUAUCAGUGGUUUGGUGGCCAAAUUCCUCAUCAAAUAGUGCAAACUGGUUUCCUCCAAGCUGUGACUUCUGCAGAGACAGAAAUGUCCUUGUUAAGUAACACUGUCCUCAAAUUUUCUAUGUGUAUCAUAGCCUACUUCCUCCUGAAUACUACCUUUCUCCAAAUCAAGACUCAAAAUAAUAUGUUUUCUUUUUAAUUUCUAUCCUAAAUCCCAUAUAGAAGGAAGGAUGCAAGACGUGGUCUCCAUGGGAGACAGAGUAUAAUCACCAACUAGGUCCAAAAGAAAAGCAAAGUCGUGUCCUGGGUUCCUUUUUCCAAGUUCCGAGUUGUGGGAAGAUGGGUUGUGGCAGCUCCGGGAGCAGACACAUAGGAUUUCCUCCUUCCUCAGCUCUCAGGAGGGCCGCUGGAUCCAAGGCAGGGGUCAGGUAUUUCCGAGAUGAAGUGAACUGAAUAGGGCGGCUACCCGAAAGGCAGUCCUCAGCAUUAUUCCAGGAAACAUCAGGGCAG
rnacentral:lncRNA from 10 species